rnacentral:rRNA from 1 species
CACAUUUCACAACACGAGCUGACGACAGCCAUGCAGCACCUGUCUCAGAGUUCCCGAAGGCACUAAGCUAUCUCUAGCGAAUUCUCUGGAUGUCAAGAGUAGGUAAGGUUCUUCGCGUUGCAUCGAAUUAAACCACAUGCUCCACCGCUUGUGCGGGCCCCCGUCAAUUCAUUUGAGUUUUAACCUUGCGGCCGUACUCCCCAGGCGGUCGACUUAACGCGUUAGCUCCGGAAGCCACGCCUCAAGGGCACAACCUCCAAGUCGACAUCGUUUACAGCGUGGACUACCAGGGUAUCUAAUCCUGUUUGCUCCCCACGCUUUCGCACCUGAGCGUCAGUCUUUGUCCAGGGGGCCGCCUUCGCCACCGGUAUUCCUCCAGAUCUCUACGCAUUUCACCGCUACACCUGGAAUUCUACCCCCCUCUACAAGACUCUAGCUUGCCAGUUUCAAAUGCAGUUCCCACGUUAAGCGCGGGGAUUUCACAUCCGACUUAACAAACCGCCUGCGUGCGCUUUACGCCCAGUAAUUCCGAUUAACGCUUGCACCCUCCGUAUUACCGCGGCUGCUGGCACGGAGUUAGCCGGUGCUUCUUCUGCGAGUAACGUCAAUCGACGAAGCUAUUAACUCCAUCGCCUUCCUCCCCACUGAAAGUACUUUACAACCCGAAGGCCUUCUUCAUACACGCGGCAUGGCUGCAUCAGGCUUGCGCCCAUUGUGCAAUAUUCCCCACUGCUGCCUCCCGUAGGAGUCUGGACCGUGUCUCAGUUCCAGUGUGGCUGGUCAUCCUCUCAGACCAGCUAGGGAUCGUCGCCUAGGUGGGCCAUUACCCCGCCUACUAGCUAAUCCCAUCUGGGUUCAUCCGAUAGUGAGAGGCCCGAAGGUCCCCCUCUUUGGUCUUGCGACGUUAUGCGGUAUUAGCCACCGUUUCCAGUGGUUAUCCCCCUCUAUCGGGCAGAUCCCCAGACAUUACUCACCCGUCCGCCACUCGUCACCCAAGGAGCAAGCUCCCCUGUGCUACCGUCC